rnacentral:lncRNA from 1 species
UAUAUUUAGUGCAUUUCUGAACUAAAAAUGCCUUAAAAUAGUUCCUUCAUUCAUCUGACUUCUUUUUUUCAGCAUUUACUUUAAGUCAGUGAUUUAAGUUGAGCAGAAAUAAAUCUGCUGCUGCUUCACAAGAACUUUGUGAAAUCAACAUAAAGAAGACAGUGAAACAAAUCCUAUUUCUACUGGUGCUGCCUCACUUUACAAUUCUCAGAAGGGAGUGAAUAUUGCAGGUUUCGAGAUAUAACAGAAGGCAGAAAUAUCUGCAGUGUGGAGUAUAGCUAGAAAUGUUUUCUACACAAGCCUCUGAGGAGACCAACUGUGAUGCAGGUAUUUUUGCCUGAAGCAUGUGGAUCAGAAAUAAUGCUAGAAUGGGAGGCUGAAGGUCAAGUGAUGGGAGAGGAGUCCUGCUGUGUGGGUAGGUGAGAGUGGUGAGCCAAAGGACGUCAUCUGGAUGUGGGACUGUCCCUCUUCAAGGCCUUUCUCCUUGUUUAGAGGCCCCUUUUUACCAGAUGAUUGAAGGAACCCAUGUUUUGGGGACUGCAUCUUGAGUUCAG